rnacentral:rRNA from 1 species
GACGAACGCUGGCGGCGUGCUUAACACAUGCAAGUCGAGCGGAGCUGCGAACGGGUGAGUAACGCGUGAGUAACUGCCCCCCUCCCUGGGAUAACAGUUGGAAACGGCUGCUAAUACCGGAUAGUGGGGGAUGCCUCGCGUCCUAUCGGCUUGUUGGUGGGGUAGUGGCCUACCAAGGCGACGACGGGUAGCCGGCCUGAGAGGGCGACCGGCCACCUUGGGCUGAGAUAGGGCGCAAUCUCGUACGUGAGGCAGCAGGGGGGAGUAUUGCACAAUGGGGGAACCCCUGAUGCAGCAACGCGCGUGCGGGAUGACGGCCUUCGGGUUGUAAACCGCUUGCAGCCAUGACGCGGUAGUGGCAGAAGAAGCACCGGCUAACUACGUGCCAGCAGCCGCGGUAAUAC